GGAGAGUCAAUACAUGAAAACAUUAGAACUUGUUCCAGUAACAAUAAGAAAAACCACAAGCAACGUAUUUCUCCCAUGGCUUAAUUUCCUAAAUAUUUCCCAUCAACAAAUCAUUAGUCCAAACUUCGAGGUCUUGGGAAGGGAUUCCUGCGCUGCCCAAAUAUCUGGCACAU